ACGUGAAGUAGUAGACCGGGACUUACUUCAUGGCGCACUUCUGAGACCUGGCAGGCUUGAACACUUCUAUUAUGUGAUUUUUCUUCAAUACAGGAGAGGCUGGAUAUCCUUAAAGUUUUAUCACGGAAGCUUCCUUUGGCCAGCGACGUGGACUUGGACGCUACAGAUCAAGAUCUAAUCUAUCUAAUCAUAAUCAACGGUUCUUCAAGCUCUGCUUCCCGAUGCACAGCUGCAAGCGGAGAGAGUUAUCAAGCGCGGCAAAAAUAGUAAUAAUGGACUCUCUUUUGAAGUUUGCUGCUUCAAAGGCGAGCCCGUCAAUCUCAAAUGCCGAGAAGAGAGACUCCAUACAAAUUCCUUUCAUUCUUUGAAUUCUAUCAUCUCUCCCUAAAACUACAAAUUGUGCAUCUCCAAUCAAAAAAUUCAACCGGGGAUUCUGAUAGUUGCUUAAAACGCAUCUUUCUACGUCAGUAGAUCAUUGAUUAGCAUAUUUCCUCUGAAUAGUCGGGCCUCAUAGUUUAUAUGACUAUUAAUUUUUGUGAAUCCAAUAAUGUCAGACACGGAUUUUGAACA